GAGAUUCGUGAUUUCCGUUGGUUCUGUAGUAUUUUGUGAACAGACUCCAAAAAAGUUUUACUUAAAAUAUUGCAGAUUUUGACUACAAGAGUGUACUCCCUCAAAUAAGCCCUCAAUAAUUAAAACAAAUGUACUAAAUUCCAAGUUCUUCCAUAAAACAAGUGUUUGUAUUUCAAUUCCCCACCUCCCGUCUAGAUCGGAUUACCGCACACCACCGAACAUCGCUUCACCUCGACCAAUUUAUGGCAUUACAUGCCUCAACUGAAUUAUUCAUUCAUUCACUUUUCUCCGUCAGCUUCAUUUGUUCACCUCGUUAAGAGAUCUUAAAUUGGCGUGGAAACUUACUUCCUUUUUUUGUCAGUAAAAACUCCAGCUGAUCUCCUUCCCACAGAAUAAAUGAAAUAUUGUGUGCCACGUCAUGAACGACCUUGUCGCUCAUCGUGCGUGAGGAAACAAAAGGUACUCUUCCCCCAUACUCAUAUCCAUCUUUCUUUUCUGCCCUUCCCCCAUGUCCACACUUUAAUUGGUAGGUGUUGAACAUGGUCACUGACCUAUACGCAUUUCACUAGCCUCACCGCUUCUCCCAUCAGCUUUGCUUUUAUUAUGAUUUGUUUGGAUCAAGAAUAUUGUUUUCUGCGAUUUGAAGUUUAUUCGCCUUUUUUGUUCUAUCUCCCCUCUCCUCCCAUUCUCCUAUGCACGAUUCAAUUUCGAAGGCCGCGAUUGAGUCUUCUUAAGUAAAUCUUUCUCUUUUCUCUCUCCAUCCAUACACCAGAUCCCCUUCCCCGUCAAGUACCUAUUCCUACGCACCAUUCUCCCUUUUUUUCUUUUUUUCAUAUCAAAAACCGUUCCCCCGUCUUAUUUUGGAACAGCAACACAACAAUAAUAAAUAUCUUCUCU
ensembl:ncRNA F07C6.8 ncRNA